rnacentral:misc_RNA from 1 species
GUUUUUUGUCUGCUGCGUAUAUCUGGGUGAUGCUUGGCUUUCUUGUUACAUAUUCAUGGGCUUCAGGUAUUGUAUUCAUCGCUGUCCUUAAUGAUCUAACGGAGAGGUUUGGUUCAUUUGUUGGUAUGGUAUGGGAUGGCUCAAGAUUGGGGUUCAAGAGGCUUUCUGGGUUUAUCUUGAUGAGAUGGGCUGUGAGAGAUGCGCUAACCCAGCUCCUUGGGUUGUGGUAUUUUGGUGAAAUCGAAG